UGGCCAUAUCAUGUUGAAACACCGGUUCCCGUACGAUCACCGAAGUUAAGUAACUUCGAGUUUGGUCAGUAACUAGAUGGGUGACCGCUUAGGAAUACUAGAUGCUGUAAG